CAGUAGCCGCGGUAAUACAGAGGAUGCAAGCGUUAUCCGGAAUGAUUGGGCGUAAAGCGUCUGUAGGUGGCUUUUCAAGUCCGCCGUCAAAUCCCAGGGCUCAACCCUGGACAGGCGGUGGAAACUACCAAGCUGGAAUACGGUAGGGGCAGAGGGAAUUUCCGGUGGAGCGGUGAAAUGCGUUGAGAUCGGAAAAAACACCAACGACGAAAGCACUCUGCUGGGCCGACACUGACACUUAGAGACGAAAGCUAGGGGAGCAAAUGGGAUUAGAUACCCCCGUGUCCCUGUCUCUUAUACA
rnacentral:rRNA from 1 species